AAUUCUGUCUGAUGACCCCGUUCUUCAAAUUAUUGUUGUAUAAGGAAGCUGGCGCUACAUAGGAGAGAUCCUCAGGAAGGAGCCAGGGCUGAUCCUAGCAAAUCGCUAGAAGAUCCCCAGAAAGGAGACAGCAGCUGAUUCUGGGAAGGGCCCAAGGAUCACCAGGAAGAAGUGUUUUCCAAGGUCAGCAAUCACACUUUCAGCUGCUCCUUCAGGCUGUCUGCCUCUCUCUCAGGGUAUGUCUACACUACAGUAGCACAGCUCUGGCACUUCAGGACCGUUGUUUGAAUGCUUCCUACAUCGACAGAAGGGGUUUUUCCAUUGAGACACAGAGGACUUUGAACAUUCCUUAUAAAGAAACAAAACUGCAUCAAAGAAACAUCUGACUACUACCAAUUUCUACUCCCAACUGGAACACCCACAGGGCUACAAACUUUGACUAGCCACUUGGCAUGAAAAGAGACUGUCACUGCUUCUGUGCUAUGAACUGAAGGGAUCUGUCACAUGCAAGCAAAUGGCUAGGACUAAAUGAAUUUAAUCAGGAGAUCUUCAAUGAUCUGAAAUACAAAAAAGAGUCCUACAAAAUGUGGAAACUAGGUCAAAUUACAAAGGCAGAAUAUAAACAAAGAACACAUGUAUGUAGGGACAAAAUUAAAAAGGCCAAGGCACAAAAUGAAAUUAAACUAGCUAGAGACAUAAAGGGUAACAAGAAAACAUUCUGAAAAUACAUUAGAAGCAAGAGGAAGAUCAAGGACAGGGUUGGCCUGUUACUCAAUGGAGGGGGGCAGGGAACAAUAACAGAAGAUGUGGAAAUGACUUUUGUUUCAGUUUUCACCAAAAAAAAGUUAGUAGCGAUUGGAGGUCUAAAAUAGUCAAUGUCACUGAAAAUGUGAUAGGAAAAGAACAAGUUAAAUAUAUUAGAGAAAGAACAAGUUUAAAAUUAUUUAGACAAGUUAGAUGUCUUCAGGUCAGCAGGACCUGAUAUAAUACAUCCUAGAAUACUGAAGAAGAUAUCUGAGCCAUUAGCGAUUAUCAUUGAAAAGUCAUGGAAAUACAGGAGCGAUUCCAGAGAAAUAAGGAAAACCCAGGGAAUUACAGGCCCAUCAGGUUACUUCAGUAAUCGGAAAGAUAAUGGAGCAAUCAAUUUGCGAAAACUUAGAAGAGCACCCCAGCCCCACAGCACUGGGCGGGAUGGAGGCACAGCAUUAGCCUCCUGGAGUCCGGGGACGCGGGCCAGCCCCCUCUAACCCUAGCCCCAGCCCCAGCGCUGCCAUGGGGGAACAGCAUGGGCAGUGAGCAGGAGAGGACCUGCGGGCAGAGCAUGGGCGAGGCCAUGUAGGGCUGUUUGGGGAAGCUCUGCCUCCCCUGGCCUGCAAUACCCACCACCCAUGAGCCUAGCCCGGCUGAGUCUGGUGCCUGACCCUGAGCACGGGCAGAGCGUGACUAGGAGGCGCUCGCUGAUUCCCAGGCUCACAGCGUGGCCUCUCACUGGGGCCAUUCCUGGUCAGGUUCCCGGUGAUGUUGGGGGGCCCGGGCAGGUCUGUAACACAAACCAGACAGGGGGUUUCAGUGGGGUUGGACAGCACCGGAGGGGGAAGGUCACUAGUGAUCACUGAGCCGAGACGUGGACCCUCGCUGUGAGCUCAGCUGGGGGAUGAAAAAGUCCCUGAAGUGACACAAGACCCGUGGGCGGGGAAGAGAAGCGACAGACCAGACUGAGCCCCACCCAAGAGGCGCCCAAUAUAACCCAGGGGCCAGUUUAGGGCCGCGCCGGGGAACCAGAACCGUGGGAAAUGGAAACCCAAGGGACCAAAACUGGUUGGUCAAAAUUGGGCCUAAUUGGCAGAGUCACUAAAGAGGGGCCGGGCUGCUCCGGCCUGGGUACUUGAGCAAGCGUAACCAGUGCCACUAUCUGCCUGGCACCUGGGCAUUCAGCGGCCUGCUCCCCAAAUGUGUCCUCCCCAGGGCGGGACAGAGCCAGGGGUCUAAAUAACCCCACUCCCACCCCCACCCCAGACCCAGCCACCACCAGGGACAUCAGAGACCCCCGUCAUGGGUCCUUUGCCUCCCCUCUCAGUUCGUCUCUCCCCAGCCCUCUCCUUUUGUCCUAUGGCUUAGCUGCCAGGCCUGGAUAUUUUGCAGUCUGGCUGCGCCUAGAGCGGCGGCUAAAAGUAACAUGCAGAACAGCCAAAUACUGAUACUGGCUGGCUAAGCCUGGCAGGGUCCAUCCACGCUGCCCUCAAAGCCCCACGGCACCGAGCCUCAGAGCCUGGGUCCGUUGUGUCAGGCUCGCGGAACUCGGGCUGCGGGUCUUUGAUUGCAGUGCGGACAUUUCCUCCGAGGUCUGUGUAGACGUUUGGGGUUGAGCUGGGGCCUGACUUCAGACAUGGGCUGGGGACUGCGGGGCAGGUUCCUUCUAAAUCUCCCGCCGGCUGAACGGAACACGGGCCAUCCUUACACUGAUGCCUGAUUUGAUCCUUCACCUUGCAAAGGCAGCCACUGAUUUUCCCUCUCCCCUGGAUCUACAGCGCGAGGGUCACAGCUCAUUUAAUGCGGGUUUGCCCUGCGGCAGGGCGGGCUGAGGUAUCUGGGCACUGAGCCUGGAGCAUGUUUAGUGCCGGACAGUGACUGGGUCCCAUUCACACUCUGCCCCAUAUAGAGCAUCCACCGAUCC